AUUGAACGCUGGCGGCAUGCUUUACACAUGCAAGUCGAACGGUAACAGGGAGCUUGCUCCGCUGACGAGUGGCGAACGGGUGAGUAAUGCGUCGGAACGCGCCGAGUAGUGGGGGAUAACGCAUCGAAAGGUGUGCUAAUACCGCAUACGUACUGAGGUAGAAAGUGGGGGACCUUCGGGCCUCACGCUAUUCGAGCGGCCGACGUCUGAUUAGCUAGUUGGUGAGGUAAAGGCUCACCAAGGCGACGAUCAGUAGGGGGUCUGAGAGGAUGAUCCGCCACACUGGGACUGAGACACGGCCCAGACUCCUACGGGAGGCAGCAGUGGGGAAUUUUGGACAAUGGGCGCAAGCCUGAUCCAGCCAUGCCGCGUGUCUGAAGAAGGCCUUCGGGUUGUAAAGGACUUUUGUACGGAACGAAAAGACUCUGGUUAAUACCUGGGGUCCAUGACGGUACCGUAAGAAUAAGCACCGGCUAACUACGUGCCAGCCGCCGCGGUAACAC
rnacentral:rRNA from 1 species